AUGACGAUCGAGCUGCAGUCGAGGCCGUCGCUCCCGGCGCCGGCGGGUGCGCCACCGCGCGCGGGCACGGGGCUGCCGCCGGGGUUCCGGUUCUACCCGACGGACGAGGAGCUGAUCGUGCACUACCUCCGCAGGCGCGCCGCUGCGGCGCCGUGCCCGGCGGCCGUCAUCGCGGAGGUGGACAUCUACAAGUUGGACCCGUGGGAGCUCCCGUCGCGGGCCGUGUUCGAGGGCGACAACGACGAGUGGUACUUCUUCAGCCCCCGCGACCGCAAGUACCCCAACGGCGUCCGCCCCAACCGCGCCGCCGGGUCGGGGUACUGGAAGGCCACCGGCACCGACAAGCCCAUCACGGCCGGCGGCGUGCCCGGCGGCGAGGUGGUCGGCGUGAAGAAGGCGCUGGUGUUCUACCAGGGGCGUCCCCCCAAGGGGCUCAAGACCAACUGGAUCAUGCACGAGUACCGCCUCGCCGACGCCCACGCCGCCGCCGUCGCGCACACCUACCGGCCGCCCACGCGCUUCAAGGCCUCCUCCUCCAUGAGGCUCGACGAUUGGGUGCUCUGCAGGAUCUACAAGAAGCCCAACCCGCAGCAGCUGUCGCCCUUCUACGAGCCGUCGCCGUCGCCAUCGUCCAUGGACGCCAGCCUCGGCCUCGGCCACCACCACCACCAUCAGUACCAGCAGCAGCGACAGCAGCAGCAAGAGGACACCUCCUCCUCCUCCCGGAUGCUGCCGAGGAAUCCUUCCAUCUCCGACUACCUCGUGGACUACUCCGCCGUCUCGGAGCUCUUCGACAGCAUGCCGCCCCCACCACAGCCGGAGACGACUGCAAGCUCCGCCGGCCAGUUCUUCCUCGGCACCACUACUACUGGCGCCGGCGACGGCGAGGCCAGCACGGCGCACAAGAGGCAGGCGACGGCGGACAGCAACAACGAUGGUGAAAUGUCGUCGUUGCACGCUUCCAAGAGGUGGUUGGGUAGCGAUGGGUCCAUGACGACGAUGAUGAACGGCGGCUUCUCCAUAUUUGGACCAGACCAGCCUUCCCAGCAGGAUAGGAUAUGA
rnacentral:rRNA from 1 species